AUGGCUCCUAAGAUCGCCAGUGCCAUGGUCAUGUACGUAUUGAUACUGGCACUCCUUGCGUAUUCAGAUGCAAGGCGUUGUACACAACACCCAGUUCAGGAUCCAGAUUGCAUCGGUCGAAUUGACAGAAACUGUGUUAAAUGUUGCAAUGCCGAAGGCUACCGUCAUGGAGUAUGUGCACCCACAUGCAAAUGCUCUCACUGCGGACCUGAAUCCGGUCCCGAUGAACGUGCAGAAAAACAGUGA
rnacentral:rRNA from 1 species